rnacentral:tRNA from 1 species
GCAGCGUUGCCAGAGUGGUAAUGGGCCCGCUUGGAAAGCGGAAGCCGGGUUGAGAAACCUGCGAAGGUUCGAUCCCUUCACGCUGCGCCA